GGGGCGGCGGGUCGCGGGCGGCCCCGGAGGACUCGGCCGCGCAGCAGCCGCUCGGCUCGCGGCGGGGGUCGGAGGGAUUCUGACCUCGGACCACCGCGCCGGCGAGUCCUGCUGCUCUGCUGCUAAUUCAGGCCUUCGUGGCGGGGGAUACCCGAGGGAUAGGUCGGGCGGCGAGGAGGGUGUGGCUGGGCCGGCGAGGCUCCCUCCGCGCGGCCAGGGGACUCCUGGGUCCCAGGAGCCGGGCGCUGCGUGGGGGGCCGGGGUCCAGCCUGUUAAAGUUCGGGCGGAGGGCAGGGAAGGGCUGAAAACUGCCCCGGGGUCCAAGGACGUCCACUGCUGGCAGGACCUUUAGGGAUCACCGCCUCCCCUUCUUGCAGAAAGGGAAACUGAGGCCCAGAGGGCGUGACUGAGGCCGGGACGUCGCUGGGUGCCUGCCGCAGACAUCGCGGGAGGCCAGCAGCCCCGGAGCUGAGGCCGCGCGAGACCCCCACCUCCAGCUCUCGGGAAAUCGCGGGCGCAAGGCUGGGGGAGGGGCGAGAACAUCAAGGUCAAAGGUGACGGUGUACUUGCCAAGUGCCGGCACACGUGGCUCUGCGCUCCACAUUGCCUCCUCACUGCAAGAGGAACAGUUACGGUUUUCAGAAGAGGAAACAGGGCUCAGAACAGCAAAGCCACCGCCCAAGGUCACACAUCAAGAAAGUCACAGCGCUGGGAUCUGACCCCACGUGUGUGUGAGAGCCCGCACUCCUGCCCUGUGCAAGACACAGCUUCUGCUGGGAGGUGCCACUGCAAGGAGCUCUUGAUUUUUCCCACAGGAGGGACAGGACUCGUACCCAGCUGGUCAGACCACAACACAUGCCACAGUGACCAGUGACAAGCUGGAGAGUCUAGGACGGGAGGAGGAAGAAGGGUGGGAGCAGGGAGAGGCUGGAGUUGAACAUUCAAAUGGAGGCAAGAGGACCUCAGACAAAGGCAGAGGGACUGGCUGAGCCUGGGGGUGGAGUGCGGAGUGGGCCACCCCCCAGAAGCUCUGAAGGAAGCCUGCAGGAUCCCCAGGGACCCACCUGCUGGUCAAGGGUCAGCUGGGGGAGGCCACCUGGGGCCCAGGGAGGCUGCUGCUCUCUGGGCAGCACUGAGGGGUCAGCCCGGGGCAGGAGUACAAGCUGAGGCCCACAUACCUCAUGUCUAGGUAUUUACAAGUUAUAAAUCACGCUAACAAACUGCUAAAUAAAAUAUGUUCUGUCCUC